ACUGAAACAUCUAAGUACCCGGAGGAAGAGAAAAUAAUAAUGAUUCCGUAAGUAGCGGCGAGCGAACGUGGAAGAGCCCAAACCAGUAUUGUUUCGGCAAUAUUGGGGUUGUAGGACUGUGAUAUGAGAAUUGAUUGUAUAGUAGAACAAACUGGAAAGUUUGACCGUAGAGGGUGAUAGUCCCGUAGACGAAAUGCAAUUUGGAUCUAACAGUAUCCUGAGUAGUGCGGAACACGAGAAAUUCUGUAUGAAUCAACCGGAACCAUCCGGUAAGGCUAAAUACUCCUGAGAGACCGAUAGUGAACUAGUACCGUGAGGGAAAGGUGAAAAGCACCCUGAAUAAGGGAGUGAAAUAGAUCCUGAAACCAUACGCUUACAAGCUGUAGGAGCCCAUUUAUUGGGUGACUGCGUGCCUUUUGCAUAAUGAGCCUACGAGUUACUCCUCACUAGCGAGGUUAAGAUUUUAGAGAAUCGGAGCCGAAGCGAAAGCAAGUCUGAAUAGGGCGUAUAGUUAGUGGGGGUAGACGCGAAACCAUGUGAUCUACCCAUGAUCAGGUUGAAGCUCUGGUAACACAGAGUGGAGGACCGAACCAGUUGAUGUUGAAAAAUCUUUGGAUGAAUUGUGGGUAGGGGUGAAAGGCCAAUCAAUCUUGGAAAUAGCUCGUACUCCCCGAAAUGCAUUUAGGUGCAGCGUUGUGGUUGAGUGUUAUAGAGGUAGAGCUACUGAUUGGGCUAGGGGGCUUCACCGCCUACCAAACCCUGACAAACUCCGAAUGCUAUAACAUAU
rnacentral:rRNA from 1 species